CUCGGUCUCUCGACAUUCACUCACCUCACCUUAGACCUAAACCUCACCUCACCUCACCUCAGUAUCUCCUCUUCGCCGAUUUGUCUCUCCUCCCACAUCCGUCGCCUGAAUCCCAAAUCUACCCACACCAGUCCUCAUUCCUCUUAGUCCUCACUCCUCACUUGAAUCGCACUUUCACCCACUGUCCAUACCACCCGAAUUCGGCUCCUGAAUCGAGCUCUCGGUCUUAGUCCGCACUCCUCCUCACUGCAAAAGAUUCUUGAAAACAUAUUCCAAAUGUUUCUUGU